UCGGGAAUAUUGCGCAAUGGAGGAAACUCUGACGCAGUGACGCCGCGUGCAGGAAGAAGGUUUUCGGAUUGUAAACUGCUUUAGACAGGGAAGAUACAAGACAGUACCUGUAGAAUAAGCUCCGGCUAACUACGUGCCAGCAGCCGCGGUAAUACGUAGGGAGCAAGCGUUAUCCGGAUUUAUUGGGUGUAAAGGGUGCGUAGACGGGAAGGCAAGUUAGUUGUGAAAUCCCUCGGCUUAACUGAGGAACUGCAACUAAAACUAUCUUUCUUGAGUGCUGGAGAGGAAAGUGGAAUUCCUAGUGUAGCGGUGAAAUGCGUAGAUAUUAGGAGGAACACCAGUGGCGAAGGCGACUUUCUGGACAGUAACUGACGUUGAGGCACGAAAGUGUGGGGAGCAAACAGGAUUAGAUACC
rnacentral:rRNA from 1 species